rnacentral:rRNA from 1 species
CCUACGGGAGGCAGCAGUCGGGAAUAUUGCGCAAUGGAGGAAACUCUGACGCAGUGACGCCGCGUAUAGGAAGAAGGUUUUCGGAUUGUAAACUAUUGUCGUUAGGGAAGAUAAAAGACUGUACCGAAGGAGGAAGCCCAGGCGAACUAUGUGCCAGCAGCCGCGGUAAUAAAUAGGGGGCAAGCGUUAGCCGGAAUUAUUGGGUGUAAAGGGUGCGUAGAUGGAAGAACAAGUUGGUGGUGAACUCCCGCGGCUCCCCUGAGGAACUGCAACCAAAACUAUUCUCCUUGAGUGUCGGUGAGCAAAGUGGCAUUCCUAGUGUAGCGGUGAAAUGCGUCGAUAUUAGGAGGAACACCAGUGGCGAAGGCGACUUUCUGGACGAUAACUGACGUUGAGGCACGAAGGUGUGGGGAGCAAACAGGAUUAGAUACCCCAGUAGUC